UACAGAGGUCUCAAGCGUUGUUCGGAUUCAUUGGGCGUAAAGGGUGCGUAGGUGGCGCGGUAAGUCGGGUGUGAAAUCUCGGAGCUUAACUCCGAAAUUGCAUUCGAUACUGCCGUGCUUGAGGACUGGAGAGGAGACUGGAAUUCAUGGUGUAGCAGUGAAAUGCGUAGAGAUCAUGAGGAAGACCAGUGGCGAAGGCGGGUCUCUGGACAGUUCCUGACACUGGAGGCACGAAGGCCAGGGGAGCAAACGGG
rnacentral:rRNA from 1 species